UUUCCUGCAGGCCACUGGAUACAGGCAGAGAGAGGCAUCUAUCAACAUUUGUGUUUUCAAAGUUGAAUUCAUGUGGUUCAGAGUAGUUACAUUUAUUGGUUAUGUUUUGUUUACCUUUAAAAAUAUAGGAAAAGGAGUUGGUCAGUAUAAAACUGGACUGGGCUGUUAUUAAAAUAGAUGUGUGCACACAACAUGUUCCUCUUUUACCUCUCUGAAGUUAUACUGUAGCCCCAGGGAAAUCAUUGGCUUGUCAAGGCAAUUUGUCUAGAUCUGUGAUGUUAAGAUGGAUUCGAGAUAACCAUCCUAAACUCCCAAACCUUAAAAAAGGGGGAAAAGGAGAUUGCAGGGAUGUUGAUUCCACUGAGCAUCUGGACCUUUCAAAAUAUUCUUUCUGAGUCUGUGGUGGCUUUCUCAGCUCAGCCCAAGCUAUUUUGAUGACAUUUGUUUCUAAAAGAGGCUAUAAUAUAAUACCAUGUCCAGAGUCAGGUAGGAUAUGUUGGUUUGGGGUUUUUUUUAAUAUUAUUUGUUUGUUCAAGCUGUGGCACCAAGGCAAAGGAAGUAAAUCUCAGCUCCAUUAGACUUCCUCUGGGAUGACAGCAGUAUGACUAAAGCCAUUCCCAAAACAGAGACCUCUUACAAGUCGUGUUUGUUACAGAGAAAUACGGCUUGGCUUAGCUCACUAGGAAAGAUCUGAGAGACUUUUGGACAGAAGAUGCCAUAGGAAUGCCCAGCUUUCACCAGGGAAUACAAGUUAUGUCCUCUGCAGCACUACUUUAAGCCAAGCCUCAACUUGGACGGACUAGAAGCUACUGAGUGCUAACAGCUGCUUAUUUGGGGAUCUUGAUCCUGGUCACCCUCUGGCACUGAGUAGACUCAGGUUGACAGUGUGAGAUUCUGCCAAAUGUCCCUCACAGCUGCAGUUUGAGUAAAACCUGACAGGGAAACAACAAUCUGCAGGCAUCAAUUGCAGGGCACUUGGAGAAAGCCAAGUAAACUCCAGUGUGUCCUUUGAACUUGUUCUGCAUUGACUGCACCAUGUCAGCUAAGUGUGUUAUAGCCUCAUGCCUCAAAUAAGAAGUCUCUUUCCAUCUGGGAAAAGAGGGUGAAAAAUUGGAUUCAAUGGCUUCAAUGGAAUUCAUACUAUAAAGGUGCUAACUCAUCUGCAGAGAAAACAAGAUUUCUGGAAACCAUCUGCCAAACAUCACAGUGGAGUGUGGGAGGGAAAGAGCAAGUGAAAGUGAACUACAUGAAAUAUGGGGGGGAAAGAGACUAAGGUAAGUGCAGAGUGUUGGUUGGAGGUUUUGAUGCCCCCGGGUUGCUGUCUUCCAGCUUUUCUGUGUGAAAUGGAUUAAUGUAAGGACUCACUGUCAAAGUAGUCAUCUCCUCUAACAACCUAAUAAGACAUCCUUCUGUCUGAUGAGUGUUUGUUUAGUUCUGCUGGACUUUUUAACUUGAAGCAAACCUGUAAUAUGCCAAAUUGUGGGACAGAGGGGAAGGGUAUCUUGGAGGUGGGCCAUGAUACCAUGAUCCUGCAGCACUUGAGUGUCCCUAACAAAAACCAUCUAAUGCUUGGAAAGAGAAAAGCCAGGAACCCAAGAUGCAGAUUGCUUGGGGUAAAGGGCUAGAAAACUGCCUGCAAAGUAAUACAAAAGUAAAUGUACUAGAAUUGAUGCAACAUUUAUACAGAACUAUGGGGAUGUUGUGAAGUUGAACCAGUGUAGCCCGGCUUACUGCAGAGGAAGCAGGACUUGUGGAAGCUCCUUCCAUUGCACUGGAUUUCCUCAGCGUGGUACACGGUCUUUUCACAGGCACCACAUUUGGCUCCACCCCCCCAGUUUGGCAUCCCUGUCUCUGAGAGAAUGAAAUGAACAAUGUCUACAUGCCAGCUCUGCAGCCUGAAGGGAAUUCUUUCUGACAACUAACACCAAAAAUCCUACAAUGGUAUAAGAAUCUGUCCAGCAAAAGGAAGGUGACAUGAGAGUGUGUGCACACACUGAAGCCAUAGCACUGGAGACAUGGCAAUGUGAGCAGGUUUUACAGUCAGUGUUUGAUAACAGUGCAGGUACCAACACAUCCAAACCUCUGCCUUAGCACAGCAAUGAUUAGUAUCUCUUUAACCCUGUGUAAUUAAAUAGUCACUAUUGUGACUGGUACCUGUGGUAGACAGCACACCUGUCAUCCUCAUGCAGGGUCCAAUCUCCCCUCCUCUUUGUGAGGCUGAUUUGUGCUCAGCUGAACACCCUCCCCAGCUCAGUCAGCCCAGUCCUUUGCUGUAACACAGCAGCACCAUCGUUAAUCUCUUCCAGACCCUCUCAGCUCUCUUGGGAGGCUGCUCAUGGACUGCUGUGGCAGUUCCAAAACAGUAAUGAUGCAAAAAGGAAAAGAAGACUCAUCUUUCCUCUAAUUCUGUUUAUCUGGUGUAAUGAGUAAGAAGCAUAAACCUAAUGUAGAUGAAGUAAGAAACAAAACUAAUUGCAUGCAAGAAACAUAUAGUGGAUUUGAUCCCUCUCACUCAGUGAAGCCUUUACUGAACAGCACUGCUAAAUUCUUUUUUCAUUUAUUUUAAAUGUGAGAUAAAGGCACAGAGAGAAAUCUUUCAUGUAAAUAGAAUCUUAUUCCACCAUUCUAUAUUUUCUUCUAUUUUUAAAGUACUUUCAUGUUGGUGCCAUUUUCUCUUAUGAAAAUAGUUCAAGUGAUGCUUCAAGCAUUUUAAAAGAAGGAAGAGAGACUGGGCAUAACAAUCAGUUUUGUGACACUUUCUUGAAAAUUAAAAUGAGAUUUUUGUGUUCCCUUUCAAAUCAGGUUUCCAGUGGAAUCCCUUCCCAGCUGAGGCAGCACUGGUAGCUGCCAGGGAGGUUUGUACCUCUGGUCUCUGUAAAGCUAUUUGUGCUGUGUUAGUUCCCCUCAAAGGCACACCAAGAAUCUCUGUCUUUGGCAAUGGGAUAGUUGUUGGAAAGUAGCUCCAAUUACAUCAUUAGCUGAAGGGGGGAAAAUAAUCUCUUAAAAAGUCUGAUAAUGUGUGAUAGUGAACCUUGUGCUGUCAGGGGCCAUGGUUAGAGCUCUCAGAAGAACCAUUGUCCCUGAGGCUAAUUAUAGUAACAUGACUGGGCAUGCAUACACAUUUUCCAUGUUUUCUUGGCAUCACCUGAUGGGAAGCUGUAGGAGGAAGAAGAAAGUCACAGUAAAACUACAAGGAUGCCAGGGGAAGAACAGCCAUGUGUGCCACGAUGUCUGCGCUGGCUGGAGUAACAGCUGGGUGAGGUACCAGGGCAGGUUCUGUCCUUGCUUUGAUCAUCUCUCUGGACACUGAACUGCAGUGCCAUCCCUGUGGAUGGUGCCUGUGCAAAUAAAGUCCACAAGGUACAUGGCAUUCAGUGUUUUCUACUCGUCUAAAUUAUAAAUGGUGGAUAAAUCUCCAUCUUAACAAUGUGCAAAUAGAACUCAGUCUUCCACUUGUUGUCAGAAAAAAAUAUACCCAAAAUCUUCACUUCACAUAAUUUCAUUAGAUGUCAGUAUCUAAAUCCCCUUGAAAUUCCCUGAAUUUAGUUGUCUUAAUCUGAUUAACUUGCAGUGUCUGCUCACCACAUGGUGCUUAUAUUCUCGUGAUCUAGUGGGAAGUAGAGUGGACUCAUCCUAAAUGUAAUAAAUGUGUUUAUUUAUUAUUAAAUAAACUUUUGAGUGUUAGUACUGCAACACGUAGGCACUCAUGGUACUGUUAAACUGGAAGAGUGUUCUUGAACUUCCUCUGUUACUAUUCAGCAGCUUGUAUUGUUCCUCAAAAUGCAGUUACUAUAUGGAGUAGAAUUUAUACACAAGAUAUGCAGCCAGGGAUAUGUGCCUCCCGUUAUUUAGAGCUUAUAUCACAGCUAUAUGGGCCAGACUUGGAGCAAGGGAGCCUUUGAAGUGUUUGUGUGCUCUGCACAGGCAUGAAAACAUUGUGAGCCGUCUUCUUUUGGGCUGUUAGUCAUACUGUACAAAUCUAUGUGUCACAUCACUGUCACAGAGUGUCUUACUCUAAUCAAAGUGCUAUUGAUAAGAAUAUAACCCAAAAAUAUAUUUAGAUCCACUGAUCUCAAUGGGUGGUGGACACAGUACUGGCCUGAUGCAGUUGUGUAGAGGAGUAAAAUGCAGUGCAAGUGCCAGACAGUGCUGCAGGUGAAAAAAGUCUUGAAAGUAGUUUUGGUGCUUCCAUUCUAAACACAAGGUUUUCCCUUUUACAUGCUCAUGUAUUUGGCAGUCUGGAGCUCAGGCCUUAUCUGAAUGGGCUGCAGAAGUUGUGUACUAUGUGGCUGGGAGGAUUAUCUCUGGUGCCACAUAUGCUACAGGAUGGCUUUGAAGGGGAUAAACAGAAUGGGAAAUAUUGGCCUUUGUGAGCACUGGUAGUAGAAUUACUGAAUGGGAACUGGUGGGUAGGAUAUGCCUUCCAUCUCUCUCCAUUUUAGUCUCAGCUACAUGCUUGGUCUAGACUCAAAGAAUACCAAUGCCUUACCUAAUGAAUAAGCAAUAAUGGUAUCAAAUCCAAAUAUCCCUGUCUACACUGAAAUACAAGUAUUAAGGCUGCAUUUGAAAUUCUUUUCCCCACUGAAGUCUGUGGGAGAUGCCAAUGCAGCCAGGACUUCAUUCUGGUAUCUAAUCACAGCUUUGCUGUGACCUGUCCUGUGACCACCAGUGACUCAUUUGACGUCCUCAGUGUUACGCCCCCACAAGCACUGGGGGGGUAACGAUAUAUCUCUAAACAGUAGCAAUAAAAUGCUGCUCUAGUUUCUCUCUUUCACUGCAACUAACACUCAUGGGGAGGUUUUAUCUCUCUCUGUUGGUCUGCAGUGCAAGGCACAAUUCCUGCCACUGCAUCUUGAACAGCCUGAAGGUGUUUCUGUCGAAAUCCAAUCCCUUGCAGAAUGAGUUCUCUCUCAGCAGGACAAAUUCACAACAGAGAAAACAUUUGUGUUUGAAAGUUGAGCUCUUUUAAUGAAGAUGUGAUAUUGUUUAUACUCUUAUUUCUUCUGAUUCAUUCAGUGGACUUUGGAUACAGGUAAAUUUUAAGUUUAUUAUGAGCUUCCACCAUGAUCUCAUAACGAUUAGCAUUUUCCCUUCAUUUCUGCAGUAAAGCAACACAUAGAAAUCAAGGGGUGGGAAUUCCGACACUGACACAAGAAAGUAAAAAUUGAUUUUGCAUUGACACUGGUCACCCUAAGUUACACACUCCUUUUGAAACAAAAGAUUUUAACUGGCAUGAUAUGAGGCAUGCGUUGUGUGUAGCUGAUAGUUUCCCAUUGCUUUCAUCUCUGUUCUUCCAAAUUAUCUAUUAUUUUCUAGCAUAGGGAUGCCAUAUUUCUUUUGAAACUUCCUUGAUGUACACUUUUGCAGAAAUUUAAGUUUGCAUCUCCAAAAAAUAUGGUAUCCUGAAAAGGUACUUCAUUCAUCCUACAAGUAGGACAAGGUACUUCAUUCUGACUUAAAAACCAGUGACACCCCACACUCAUAUAUUUGUAAAUAUGUGCUUAGAGUUCAGUUUGAUCCAUGUGGCUGUGGAAAGCUGCAUCCUGCUGUACAAAUGUCCCAUUCCUUUUUUCAGACCUAAUCCUGGGCUAUCAGCUUUCACUUUUCAUUCCAUGAGAUCCUUCUCUAAAUCCUUUCUGUGCACUAAGUCUUUUAAGUGCCAAGUAAAGCUAUUACCUACUUUGAAAUAGCACUGUGAUGAUUAAGACACAGAAUUAUUUUAUCCACAUACGAGCCCUAUUCUUUGAAAAGCUUUCUACCUAAGGGUAAAAUUAUUUCAAAGGAAAAACAUGUAUUUAUUUAUUUAUUUAAAUUAUUGGGGCUUUUCUGAAGACUUGACCAAUCACACUCUCUUGUAAUGCUUGAGUGAUGGAUGUGGGAAUAAUUCUUUCAUCCUGCAUCCAGUUAUCUAGCAAUUUUCUUCCAAGUCUGCAUAGAAGUUUUCUUCCUAUUUGAUAUAAAACCAGCUGGUCACAAAUAUUAAAUAUUUUGAAGUUUUGGGGGAUGCUGUUUUGGUUUUUUUACUUCUAAAAUCCUAUUAACUGAGAAAUCAUGAAAGCACCCAAAUUUAUAUGCUUUGUAUAUAUGCUUUUUAAAAACGAAUCGUUUGUGGAAAAAUAAUUCGGUAGCUUUGAAACACAAUUUUUAAGCACUUCUGAAACUUCUGUUAUCCAGCCUUUCAUAGUCAAAAUGAGUGUCUGUAAUGAGGAUCCCCACAACUCUGUUCUUGCAACACCAGUAGCUACUCCCCAGGCUGAAAAGUCCAGAAGAAUCUCUUAUGAGGUGGCUACUCCAAACCUAAAAUACUGCUCUCAGCUCUGCAGGAAUCAUGUUUCUGUACUAUGCCUGCACAUUUUUCUUUGUUAAGCAACCACCUAUUAGGAAAAAAUUGCCCAAACCCUUGUAUCAGACAGUCUUGGCAGAACCCGCUGGAUGCAACUUACCAGAGUUGCUUGAAGUGUCUCCCUCUUUCCUUAGGUCUCC